CCCGACCUCUAGGGCUUUCAGAAGGCGACGAAGGAAGGGACGAUCGGUCGGGUGGGGCAGCUGAUGGAGAGGCUUGACGGCGGUGCAGUGGGGCCUGGUGGUGUAUGUCCACCCUUCCAUCGCCAACAAGUUUGUAUGGCAGCCUGAGCCAUUCUUGCAAGAAAAGGGAAGUAAGUUGAUAUAUGUUUAUGCCUGAUUCCUGAAGAAGCUGUUGAGACAAGGGGGAGCAGAUCAAGGAAAUGUAAUCUGUAGAAGAAAAAUUCUUACAAGAGCUUUUAAUAUCAUGAGGACCAUUUUGAGCUUGUACCAAACUGCAUUAUUUGGUCGGUUUACAUCAUGAUACAGCCGCCCCUUAUGCACAAGGCUAGCACCAUCAUUCUAAAGAAUUUUCAUGUAAGUAUUCUGAUAUUAUGAGGGUGUAUUGUGUCAGUUAGGCGAUGAUAAGUUCGUCGUGUUAUGAAAUACUCAUUUACCCUGUUAUUGUGUUUUGCAAAGUGCUUUAGACAUUUAGGGCAUAUUUGGGUACACAUUUGUAUUUUUUUAAUGUGCAUUUGGAGAAAGAGGUUUAUGUGAAUAUGUAAUUGUGGAAUGCAUUGAGUGUCUGAUAAAAAAUAGAUGAAAACUGAAUCUUAAAUGUGUAUUGAUGUAAGUGUAUUUCAAAAGUCCAUUGAAUAUUAUGUGACAAAUUUAUCCAUCUGACAUUUGCAAAUAAAUAAAUAAGAUUUCACCUUAUAAAAGAAAUAAAUCAUGUUGGUUUCUUGUAAGAAGAGUCGAUGGACUUGUGAGAACCUAAGAGGAGAGUCGGCGAUGGCAAAAAUCAAGAGAAGGGGAGAGGAAAUAAGAGUUAGGGAUUCUAUUAUAUAGUGAUAAUCUUGUAAUUUGAGAGAAUGUCAUAGGAUACUUUGGGAAAUCUAAAAAAUUUCAUUAGUAUCCCACAAAUGCUGAAAUACUAAUGCUAUCUUGAGGUAAUAUCAGUAUUUGAGUAUUUGCAAUGCAGCAUCUAGGUCAAAUGCCAUUUGAAAAAAUUUACCAAGCAUCAAUUCACAUUUGAAAUGUGCAUUGGGCCCUCAAUGUACAUUUUGAAUGUGUUCCCAAGUACACCCUUAGACUCUUUCCUAAUCUUACUAGUCUAGUAAUGCUAUGGCCUGUAUGUUGCACAUGCAAUUGGAAUGUGAACAUUUUUAACUUAUUGAUCAUACGAGGAAUCAAAACUUUGAAACUAAGUUAUGUUGCUUAAAGAACAAAAUGACAUGAUACUUUAUUCCACCUUGGAAAAUUUCUGAUGUCACACUUCUCUCCAAAAUCCUUCUCUUUAGUGCUUGGGAACAUUGCUGAGUGGUAACUAACAUUGGAACAAACUAAAAUGAACAUGUUUUCCUCAGCAUGAGUGUUCAUAGUUUUUAUUGUGUCCUCUUUGGCAUAUGUCAUUCCAUAUCAACUCUUCAAGUCAUGGUAGCAAAAUUAACGCAUUGAUAUAUGCACUUGAAGGUUGUGGGACAAUAUGUCGACAUCAGUAAAUGUAGAAGAAUUCUAAUUUGUAGUUGCACCUGAUAAUGGGACACCAUAAUUAUAAUUUAGAUGUAGCUCCAAUUUAUGGCUGGUUAAAUGGUGAGAUUUAUUUGUGAUAUGACUUUCAUGCUUCCUAGUCAUAUGGAUAGGAAUUGUUGCUACCUCUCUAGGUCUGUGCUUAUUUUUGCUGUGCAUAUCAAACCAGCAUAAAGUGUUAAUGGACUUCCUUUUCCGACACUUCAGCAUGGUAGAUAGGUAUAUGCUUCUAUACAGAGCUCAUUUUUCACCAUGCCUUCAUUAAAGUAGAUGGCUUUAGUUUUGAUAUUAUAUGACAACAAUUGUCUCUGUCAUCUUUUGCUACUGGUUGCUUAAUCUAUUCUGAUGUUUGUUGACUUUGUUUUCUUUUUAUCAAGAAAAUUUAGUAAUAUAAGAUUAAUAUCUGAUUACACAGAACUAGGCAGUUCUUCUAUUGUAAUAAACAAUACGGUAAUAUGAUGGAUCAUAGACCCACAGAAACUGUAGUAAUAUGACAAAGAAGAACUGAUUGCUCUCUUGCAACUCAUGACAUGUUUAUUAGCUAGGCUCAAGUCUUUCUUCUUUAUUUUCACUCCUAUUCUGUCAUAACACUUGUUCUAGAUUUUCGUAUGAAAGAAGUUGCAGAAGUAUCCGAAAAAUAAAAGUAACAAAACUUUGCCUGGAGUUGGUAGAACUUGAAACUUCGCCUUUAGUAAAAUUUACUUCUCUGGAGAUGGCUUAACAUCACGGUAUGUCAUUUAUUUUUCUCAUCCCUCAUGUUUCACUCAUCCACUUUGUAUCAGCGGAAGAAGGUAUCCUUUUAUAUUCAGCCAAUAUGUUUUUCCAUUUUCUGUAGCAUCUAUGCUAGUCAAAAUUAAUAGGAAGAGCAUAAAGAUUGUUCAGUGGAAUAAAAGUGUCAAACAUGAUUAAGGCUGGGUAAUUAUAGGUAUUUACUCACUUUUUUCUUUGACUCCUCUGGGAGCAUGUGACUUUGUGAAUAAGUAGGGUGUAUCUGACAUGCUAACACUGUACCGAUGUUGGAGAUGCUGAAAGUGUUCACAUACCACGACAAAUGAGUAUUUCCAUGCUUCAAUGUUUAUUAAGAAAAGGCUCAAUACUAACAUAUGGGACAGUUGACUAUAACGAUAUUGAGCCAUGCAGUUUGGACUGACUAUACUGUAAUGGUAUUGUGUGAUACAGUUUGGAUGAAGAAAUACUUAACAGAUCUGGAUCGUUGGUUCCGCCUGACACUGGAUGCAUCCGAGGGUUCUCUUAGCAUGGUGUAGAAGAUGGACCACAUAUGGGCAGAAUAUAUGAAGAAGUUUGAAGAGGCUAAAGGAUGUUGGGAGGGAGCUGCAGGUAGAAGCUACCAACCAGUCGGUUGAAGACAAGCUACUGAAUUCGCCGCAAGUCUAGAAAAUAGACUCGUGAAAGAUCAGAAUUCUUCAGAGGGGCCUCUUUCUGGUGCAGUAUCGAUCGUGCAAGACGAAAUACAUUUGACAAAGUCUCAUGUAUUUUGUGAAAUGCUGGCUGGCUGCCCGGGCAAGAGCUCAGUGGUGGCACAGUUUUGAGUUAAUUUUUUUCCGAGGGGUAGAUUGGUUCGAGGCUUUUGGUUUUCCGGUAUAUGGUGCACAUCAUCAUUCUUCUUGUUUCCACAAGAAAGCCCGGUAAAUCGCUGGGGAAAAUGUGUUUUAAAGUUUCUUCACCAAACUCUCGAACAAAUUAUAGUUUCUGGUUAUCGUACGAUACGAAUGUUGCUCCCCUCCCUGUGGUGCUUAAACCUCAUUAUACUGGCAAUUGUUGG